rnacentral:rRNA from 1 species
GAGCGUUUGAUCCUGGCUCAGGACGAACGCUGGCGGCGUGCUUAACACAUGCAAGUCGAGCGAUGAAAUCCCUUCGGGGAUGGAUUAGCGGCGGACGGGUGAGUAACACGUGGGCAACCUGCCUCAAAGUGGGGGAUAGCCUUCCGAAAGGGAGAUUAAUACCGCAUAACAUUAGUUUUUCACAUGAAUUACUAAUUAAAGGAGUAAUCCGCUUUGAGAUGGGCCCGCGGCGCAUUAGCUAGUUGGUGAGGUAACGGCUCACCAAGGCCACGAUGCGUAGCCGACCUGAGAGGGUGAUCGGCCACAUUGGAACUGAGACACGGUCCAGACUCCUACGGGAGGCAGCAGUGGGGAAUAUUGCACAAUGGGCGAAAGCCUGAUGCAGCAACGCCGCGUGAGUGAUGAAGGCCUUCGGGUUGUAAAGCUCUGUCUUUGGGGACGAUAAUGACGGUACCCAAGGAGGAAGCCACGGCUAACUACGUGCCAGCAGCCGCGGUAAUACGUAGGUGGCGAGCGUUGUCCGGAUUUACUGGGCGUAAAGGAUGCGUAGGCGGAUGUUUAAGUCAGAUGUGAAAAUCCCGAGCUUAACUUGGGAACUGCAUUUGAAACUGGAUAUCUAGAG